AUUGAACGCUGUCGGCAGGCCUAACACAUGCAAGUCGAGCGGAGCGGCGGUCGGGUGAGUAAUGCCUAGGAAUCUGCCUGGUCGUGGGGGAUAAGGUCCGGAACCGGGCGCUAAUACCGCAUACUAUCAGAUUAGCCUAGGUCUGAUUAGCUAGUAGGGGGGGUAAAGGCCUACCAAGGCGACGAUCCGUAACUGGUCUGCGAGGAGGAUCAGUCACACUGGAACUGAGACACGGUCCAGACUCCUACGGGAGGCAGCAGUGGGGAAUAUUGGACAAUGGGCGAAAGCCUGAUCCAGCCAUGCCGCGUGUGUGAAGAAGGUCUUCGGAUUGUAAAGCACUUUAAGUUGGGAGGCGUUACCAACAGAAUAAGCACCGGCUAACUUCGUGCCAGCAGCCGCGGUAAUUC
rnacentral:rRNA from 1 species